GCAAGUCGAACGAUGAAGCCCAGCUUGCUGGGUGGAUUAGUGGCGAACGGGUGAGUAACACGUGAGUAACCUGCCCUUAACUCUGGGAUAAGCCUGGGAAACUGGGUCUAAUACCGGAUAGGAGCGUCCACCGCAUGGUGGGUGUUGGAAAGAUUUAUCGGUUUUGGAUGGACUCGCGGCCUAUCAGCUUGUUGGUGAGGUAAUGGCUCACCAAGGCGACGACGGGUAGCCGGCCUGAGAGGGUGACCGGCCACACUGGGACUGAGACACGGCCCAGACUCCUACGGGAGGCAGCAGUGGGGAAUAUUGCACAAUGGGCGCAAGCCUGAUGCAGCGACGCCGCGUGAGGGAUGACGGCCUUCGGGUUGUAAACCUCUUUCAGUAGGGAAGAAGCGAAAGUGACGGUACCUGCAGAAGAAGCACCGGCUAACUACGUGCCAGCAGCCGCGGUAAUACGUAGGGUGCGAGCGUUAUCCGGAAUUAUUGGGCGUAAAGAGCUCGUAGGCGGUUUGUCGCGUCUGUCGUGAAAGUCCGGGGCUUAACCCCGGAUCUGCGGUGGGUACGGGCAGACUAGAGUGCAGUAGGGGAGACUGGAAUUCCUGGUGUAGCGGUGGAAUGCGCAGAUAUCAGGAGGAACACCGAUGGCGAAGGCAGGUCUCUGGGCUGUAACUGACGCUGAGGAGCGAAAGCAUGGGGAGCGAACAGGAUUAGAUAUCCUGGUAGUCCAU
rnacentral:rRNA from 1 species